CACGUAGGGCGCGAGCGUUGUCCGGAAUUAUUGGGCGUAAAGAGCUCGUAGGCGGCCUGUUGCGUCCGCUGUGAAAGCCCGGGGCUUAACCCCGGGUCUGCAGUGGAUACGGGCAGGCUAGAGGUAGGUAGGGGAGAAUGGAAUUCCCGGUGUAGCGGUGAAAUGCGCAGAUAUCGGGAGGAACACCGGUGGCGAAGGCGGUUCUCUGGGCCUUACCUGACGCUGAGGAGCGAAAGCCAGGGGAGCGAACGGG
rnacentral:rRNA from 1 species